GCUCGCCUCGCUCGUGCGGCUCACCACGCUCGUCGUGCCGGCGGUCUUCCACACCUCCUGCGAGCUCCUGUCCCGGGACAGGAGCCCCUUGCAUGAUCGAAGAUCGGCGACGGGUGCGCCGCCUCCAUCCUCCUCGCACAACGUGGCGAUGAGCUCGACCUGGUGCGCGGCAAGGGACUGCAGCCGCCGCUUCCACUCCCGGUGGUUGGCGUAGGGCCGGGAGUCAGAGAGCACAAGCGAGAUGAACCGGAAGGUGAUCUCCAGGGCCUGCAGGGACGGCUUGAUGACGGACUCGUUGCUCCACUGUGAGAAGUUCUCGGAGCUCCAGAGCUUGGCGAGCUCGGGUAAGCGGAGGUAGUGCUCAUAAGCGGCAGUGGCGGAGGCAUCGUUGAUGAGCGGAGGUGCGGGGAUCGUCGCCGGGUGGGACUUCGAAUCAGAUGCCGGGGAUGACCUCGAGGAGAUCUCGGACGCUGCCAUCUUCGCUGCUGCAGUCGAUUCUUUCCUUUCGAGGAGGUAAGAAACAGAGAUAUAUAUAGACAGAAGGAUGUUUCUCCGUUAGAUAU
rnacentral:lncRNA from 1 species